GCCAGCAUGGCCCAGUGGUUUGAGUGUUGGACUAUGACUCUGGAAACCAGGGUUUGAUUCCCAGCUCGGCCA
rnacentral:tRNA from 1 species